rnacentral:rRNA from 1 species
ACUCAAAGGAAUUGACGGGGACCCGCACAAGCAGCGGAGCGUGUGGUUUAAUUCGAUGCAACGCGAAGAACCUUACCUGGGCUUGACAUGCACUCGCAACACCCUGAAAGGGGUGCCUCUUCGGACGGGUGCACAGAUGUUGCAUGGCUGUCGUCAGCUCGUGUCGUGAGAUGUUGGGUUAAGUCCCGCAACGAGCGCAACCCUUGUCUUUAGUUGACAAUCUAGAGAGACUGCCGGAAACAAACCGGAGGAAGGUGGGGAUGAUGUCAAGUCAGCAUGACUCUUACGUCCAGGGCUACACACACGCUACAAUGGCCGUUACAGCGAGAAGCCAGCCCGCGAGGGUGAGCAGAUCUCUAAAAGGCGGCCCCAGUUCAGAUUGCACUCUGAAACUCGAGUGCAUGAAGUCGGAGUUGCUAGUAACCGCGUGUCAGCAUAGCGCGGUGAAUAUGUUCCCGGGUCUUGUACACACCGCCCGU